UACGAAGGUCCCGCGCGUUGGCCGGAAUCACUGGGCGUAAAGGGAGCGUAGGCGGCGCGGUAAGUCAGAUGUGAAAUCCCGGGGCUCAACCCCGAAACUGCAUCCGAUACUGCCGUGCUAGAGGAUUGGAGAGGUAGCUGGAAUUCUCGGUGUAGCAGUGAAAUGCGUAGAGAUCGAGAGGAACACUCGUGGCGAAAGCGAGCUACUGGACAAUAUCUGACGCUGAGGCUCGAAGGCCAGGGUAGCGAAAGGG
rnacentral:misc_RNA from 1 species